ACAACAGGUGGAGCCUGCGGUUUAAUCGGACUCAACGCCGGGAAACUCACCAGAUAAGACAGCUGAAUGAUAGUCGGGCUGAAGACUCUACUUGACUAGCUGAGAGGAGGUGCAUGGCCGUCGUCAGUUCGUACUGUGAAGCAUCCUGUUAAGUCAGGCAACGAGCGAGACCCACGCCAACAGUUGCCAGCUCGUCCUCCGGGAUGGUGGGGACACUGUUGGGACCGCCUCUGCUAAAGAGGAGGAAGGAAUGGGCGACGGUAGGUCAGCAUGCCCCGAAUUAUCUGGGCUACACGCGGGCUACAAUGGGUGGGACAAUGGGUAUCGACACCGAAAGGUGAAGGCAAUCUCCUAAACCCAUCCGUAGUUCGGAUUGUGGGCUGCAACUCGCCCACAUGAAGCUGGAAUCUGUAGUAAUCGUGUCUCAAAAUGGCACGGUGAAUAUGUCCCUGCUCCUU
rnacentral:rRNA from 1 species